AGUACUCGAGUGGCGAACGGGUGAGUAACACGUGGGUAAUCUGCCCUGCACUUCGGGAUAAGCUUGGGAAACUGGGUCUAAUACCGGAUAGGAGCCAUCUUUAGUGUGGUGGUUGGAAAGUUUUUUCGGUGUAGGAUGAGCUCGCGGCCUAUCAGCUUGUUGGUGGGGUAAUGGCCUACCAAGGCGGCGACGGGUAGCCGGCCUGAGAGGGUGUACGGCCACAUUGGGACUGAGAUACGGCCCAG
rnacentral:rRNA from 1 species